UGGGGGAUAUUGCACAAUGGGCGAAGCCUGAUGCAGCGACGCCGCGUGGGGGAUGAAGGCCUUCGGGUUGUAAACUUCUUUUGCUCUGAACAAGGCGCACCAUGGGGUGUGUUGAGUGUAGGGGUUGAUUAGCGCCGGCUAACUACGUGCCAGCAGCCGCGGUAAUACGUAGGGCGCGAGCGUUGUCCGGAAUUAUUGGGCGUAAAGGGCUUGUAGGUGGCUGGUUGCGUCUGUCGUGAAAGCUCAUGGCUUAACUGUGGGUUUGCGGUGGGUACGGGCUGGCUUGAGUGCAGUAGGGGAGGCUGGAAUUCCUGGUGUAGCGGUGGAAUGCGCAGAUAUCAGGAGGAAUACCGGUGGCGAAGGCGGGUCUCUGGGCUGUUACUGACACUGAGGAGCGAAAGCAUGGGGAGCGAACAGG
rnacentral:rRNA from 1 species